rnacentral:lncRNA from 1 species
CAGCGAGGCUUCUCCCAUCGUUCGCCAAGAAAACCCCUGAUUGUCUCUCACUGAGGUUUUGAGUGAAACCAGCCCAGCUGAAUACCAUCUCGCAAGGUUCGCUCGGGGAUCCACUAAAGCAUACGGGAAUGAAGCCGAGGGUUAAAGUUCAUCUGAGACGAGAGCUUUAAAGGGGUCGACGCCGGGUACCCAAAUGACAGAGCAGAUGCAGACAGCCUGACCAUUCACCAACAUCUGGACCUCAGCCCAACAGAGAGAGAGACACAGAUGUUAAAAUUCAAAGUUCACUGGUCCAUUUUCUUUCUAAUUCUAAAUCUUCACAUUUAAUUAAGUGUGUAACUUGCUGUUUCUUUGUAAAUAAAUGUGAAAUUUACUACCAAUUUGUAAAUGAAAAUUGUUUCAAAGUAAAUCUUUCA